rnacentral:rRNA from 1 species
GAUGAACGCUGGCGGCGUGCCUAAUACAUGCAAGUCGAACGAGGUGCUUGAGUAGCAAUACAAGAGUAUCCUAGUGGCGAACGGGUGAGUAACGCGUGGAUGACCUGCCCCAAAGUGUGGGAUAACAGUCCGAAAGGAUUGCUAAUACCUCAUGUGGUUGUUGGAUUUAGAAACUGACAACUAAAGCAGCAAUGCGCUUUGGGAGGGAUCUGCGUCCCAUCAGCUAGUUGGUGAGGUAACGGCUCACCAAGGCGACGACGGGUAGGGGACCUGAGAGGGUGGCCCCCCACAAUGGAACUGAAACACGGUCCAUACACCUACGGGUGGCAGCAGUAGGGAAUAUUGCUCAAUGGGCGAAAGCCUGAAGCAGCAACGCCGCGUGUGCGAUGAAGGCCUUCGGUCGUAAAGCACUUUCUGAGAGAUGAGAAAGGACAGUAUCUCAGGAAUAAAGUCUC